AGCUUUGCGCAGUGGCAGUGUCGUAGCCAAUGAGGUUUAUCCGAGGCGCGAUUAUUGCUAACUGAAAUAUGUCCAUUGAGGUCGGACACGCAUGGCAGUGCAGGAGUCAAAUGCCACACUGAUGCCUCUCUUUCUAAGUGGCUAUAUUUUAAUCGCUUAUAAUAGA
rnacentral:snRNA from 1 species